rnacentral:lncRNA from 1 species
UCCGUUUUUAUUUAGUUCGCGUAUUAGCUUUGGUCAAAGUCAAGCUUUGUAAACUUUGACCAAAUUUAUAGACAAAAAUAUUGGCAUAUAUAAUAACAAAUCAAUAUCACUAGAUUCAUUGUUGAAUGUACUUCAACAUCAUAUAGAUUUGUAAUGGUAAAUAUUUAUAAUCUUUUCUAUAAACUUGGUCAAACUUUAGAAAGUUUGACUUCAGUCAACUCUAAUAUGCAGAGUAAAUAAAAACGGAGGGAGUAAUAUAAUACUACAAUGAUGGUGCAAACUAAAGUCUAAAUCAUCAAUGGCAAAUCCACGGCACACAAAAAUUCUUCUCCAUAAUCGAUUUGCUCUCUUCGUCCAAAUGCCCAAACUCAUCACAACAUAGCAGAAUAGCCUGAAUGGAAUAAACCAUAUCUGAACCAUCAUAUGCAAUACACGAACCAUGUACUGAACUUAAUUGAUAUAUUGCUACUGAACAUAGCAGAUUAGUCUCUAUGUGCAUGUAUUACUAAUUUACAGCUGAGCAGCCACUCUAAUGUAAUGAACUUAAGAACUGUUUGUUCCUCUUAAGCAACCCUGCAGUUUUCAUGAAAACUUUGGCUGUAGUGGUCCUAAAAUCCACUUGGAGAUUCUUUGCAGCUUCCUCUCCAUGUUGCCGGACCAAUCUGCAGAUAAAAAAGGAUAAGGUAAAUAAUUGUUGUUUUGUUUGCCAAUAAUCAAACAACUAUGAUAUAGUAAGAAAAAAGUUAGUGGAGGUAUAGGAAGGACAAGUAGUUCUACUACACACAGAUGAUUAGGGGUCAGAGGGAAUUCAAGAUAAACCAAGACAAACUUCAAAAUUCAGUCCUACAGUUGAACAUCAAAUUCAAAUCAAACGGGGAAGAAUCAAUGGGUCAGGGGUAAGGAUGCAAGUGUGUGUGUGUNNNNNNNNNNAAACCCGCAAAACGGCGCCGGGCCAACCACAUCAUGUCAAGCGGUCUCAAAUAGUCCGACCACUUUGUCUAGCGGACGUCGCACAGUCUCGCGUAUCCUACGAAAGGGAGAAAACUCUCCUGAGAAUUCCUGUCCUUCUCGACGCGAUAGAGGUGCACGACUGUAUUGUAUAACAGGUUCAUCCCACACAGCGUGCACUCCUCAAUUUGUGCCCCAGCGACAACACCAGGCAUGCCACGGAGCUCAUGAUGACCCAGUUGGUCCGGCUGUGCGCAUCAGCUGAGGGCGGGUGGUUGUGGUGGCGCACCCGGUGGCAAAGAGUGUGAUGCGGCAAUGAGUGUGCGGCGUGUCCACGGCGGGCGGCGAGGCGGCGCUGCCGCAGUAGGUGCUGGAGAUUGUUCAUGUGCGUGCAAUAGGGAACCUGAUCAGGACCUGAAUAAUACGGCAAAGGAUACACUCUCGCCGGUGUGUGUGGUGCAAGUCAGCUUGUACCAAUGCCUACCUGCUCUAUAUUUAGCCAUCCGUCACAGUUGCAUGGCGCAUCUUGUGUAGGUUAGCUAUAAGAUGUACUCCGUAGGACGACGAACGCCCGCGUUAGCCAGUGCGGGCUGGUCGCUGCUCGCUCCGCUUGCAUCCAGAGUCAGGGGUAGGGAUUGAAGGGAGAAACCCGCUGGCAGAGCGCCACCAUCAGGAGGACGCGCAAUCGCCGGGUGCGCAUCACCAUCAGGAAAAACGAGCCUCUACUCAGACCGGCGAGGGCAGGGACCGCCACGUGCAACUACUGGGAGGAUGAACGAAUCAAUGUGGCAGCCAUCGGCGACCGGCUCGUGGGGCGAACCAAGGACGGCAGAUCUAUGUUGUGUGGGCUGCUACCAGCCUACCACUCGUUGGCGGCGGAGAAGAUCUACAGGGGCGAGGGGAGCGGGCCAUCAAGUGGGGGCGAAUCGAGAUCUGAAGGGAGGGGUACUCACCGACAUGGCCAGAGUCGCGAGAUCGCCAAGACGGGGGCUGCCGAGUUCGAUUGGCCGGAGUCUCGGGCUUGGGCUUUGGCGAUGCCUUGGCGCGCCUCGGACGGACCCAGCUCAUUCGCGACCGGUGCCCGGACCCGUCUGGUUGGUGCUUGCGCACGACGACCCUGACGGGAUGAUGACCAGAAGCCGCCGCCGCC